AGGACGAACGCUGGCGGCGUGCCUAACACAUGCAAGUGGAGCGACGACCCGGGCUUCGGCCCGGUGCAAAGCCGCGAACGGGUGAGUAACACGUGGGUAACCUGCCCUGAUGAUUGGGACAACCCGAGGAAACUCGGGCUAAUACCGAAUGUGCCCUCCGGCCAUAAGGCCGCUGGGGAAAGGAAGCUUCGGCCUCCGCAUCGGGAUGGGCCCGCGGCCCAUUAGCUUGUUGGUGAGGUAACGGCUCACCAAGGCAACGAUGGGUAGCUGGUCUGAGAGGACGAUCAGCCACACUGGGACUGAGACACGGUCCAGACACCUACGGGUGGCAGCAGUCGAGAAUUUUUCACAAUGGACGAAGUCUGAUGGAGCGACGCCGCGUGGAGGAUGAAGGUUCUUGGAUUGUAAACUCCUGUCACUGCAGAACAAGGAUACGUUUGUGAAUAGCACGCGUAUUUGAUGGUAUGCGGAGAGGAAGGGACGGCUAACUCUGUG
rnacentral:rRNA from 1 species